GGGCCCGUAGCUCAAUCUGGUAGUCUAUAUGGCCAAAAGUAUUCCCUUCGCAAGGGAAAGAUUGCGAGUUCAAAUCUCGCCGGGUCCA
rnacentral:tRNA from 1 species